GCAUUAAUGGGGUAGUGGUAACCUGGGUCGUUGCCAUAUAGGGCUUUACACAAGAAAACAUUGAUUCGACCCGCCGGGAGUUCGAUUCUCUCUUAAUGCA